CCUUUGUACACACCGCCCGUCGCUACUACCGAUUGAAUGGCUUAGUGAGGCCUCCGGAUUGCGCCUGCGGACCGGGAAACCGCCCCACGGGCUCGAGAAGCUGGUCAAACUUGGUCAUUUAGAGG
rnacentral:rRNA from 1 species